AUUUGUGGGCAGCAACCAUUCUUAACUUUGAAAAAGAAUUCACCUGAAGGAUCCAAAUGAACACCAUUUCAUUUCACGUUGGGAUUCAAUUUGGAAGCAAAAAAAAAAAAAAAAAAAGGGUACAGCGACAUUUUUCUUUGAAGAUUCAUUAUGAAGAGCCAAACAAAAACAAGAAGAGCAAGAAAUCCAAAGGCCAUUCGGCCAUGCUCAAAAUUUUUUGCCCCUUUGAAAUCUUGUUCCCAAAAUUAUUUUCUUGUGGUAAUUCCACUAAUUCAAGGGUCCUUUACAACUUGGUGUAGUUAUUUUGGAAGAUAGGGAGCUUGUUUCUUCAAAUUAACAAGUGGGUUUAGUGAAGAAGCUUGGAAGAACAAAGGCAGAUUUUGGAGAAAACUGGGAUUGAGCUUGGAGAGGCGUAAGACGCGAAAAAGGUACAGACGCACAGUUUGGUGAUUCACCAGUUUAGGACACCCUCUUCUGCUGUUUGGAGUGCUCCUCUUAUUUCGGAGCCUACUUUUUGGUAUAUAUACUUGUUCGAUGCAUAUGUAUAUAUUGGUUCAGGGGUACGGCGGGGCCCUGUCCCGCCAUAUGUUUCUGUUGGUCUGUUUAGAGGUUUGUAGACGUAUUUGUGAGUGUGUGUGCCUACUUCUGUACAGAUGUGUUUGUAUGACCCUGUUCAUUAUGGCAGCCUUGUCGGUGUGCACUUUGUAUAUGUUUUGGGCCGUUGCGCCAUCUGUUAGCCUUGUCGGCUUUUGAUACUUUUGAUAGCCUUGUCGGUUUUUGAUACUUUUGAUAGCCUUGUCGGCUUUUGAUA